rnacentral:rRNA from 1 species
UUGCAUGCGGCAGCUAUAAUGCAGUCGAACGAAACUUUCUUACACCGAAUGCUUGCAUUCACCGUAAGAAGUUGAGUGGCGGACGGGUGAGUAACACGUGGGUAACCUGCCUAAAAGAAGGGGAUAACACUUGGAAACAGGUGCUAAUACCGUAUAUCUCUAAGGAUCGCAUGAUCCUUAGAUGAAAGAUGGUUCUGCUAUCGCUUUUAGAUGGACCCGCGGCGUAUUAACUAGUUGGUGGGGUAACGGCCUACCAAGGUGAUGAUACGUAGCCGAACUGAGAGGUUGAUCGGCCACAUUGGGACUGAGACACGGCCCAAACUCCUACGGGAGGCAGCAGUAGGGAAUCUUCCACAAUGGACGCAAGUCUGAUGGAGCAACGCCGCGUGAGUGAAGAAGGUCUUCGGAUCGUAAAACUCUGUUGUUAGAGAAGAACACGAGUGAGAGUAACUGUUCAUUCGAUGACGGUAUCUAACCAGCAAGUCACGGCUAACUACGUGCCAGCAGCCGCGGUAAUACGUAGGUGGCAAGCGUUGUCCGGAUUUAUUGGGCGUAAAGGGAACGCAGGCGGUCUUUUAAGUCUGAUGUGAAAGCCUUCGGCUUAACCGGAGUAGUGCAUUGGAAACUGGAAGACUUGAGUGCAGAAGAGGAGAGUGGAACUCCAUGUGUAGCGGUGAAAUGCGUAGAUAUAUGGAAGAACACCAGUGGCGAAAGCGGCUCUCUGGUCUGUAACUGACGCUGAGGUUCGAAAGCGUGGGUAGCAAACAGGAUUAGAUACCCUGGUAGUCCACGCCGUAAACGAUGAAUGCUAGGUGUUGGAGGGUUUCCGCCCUUCAGUGCCGCAGCUAACGCAAUAAGCAUUCCGCCUGGGGAGUACGACCGCAAGGUUGAAACUCAAAGGAAUUGACGGGGGCCCGCACAAGCGGUGAGCAUGUGGUUUAAUUCGAAGCAACGCGAAGAACCUUACCAGGUCUUGACAUCCUUUGACCACCUAGAGAUUAGCUUUCCCUUCGGGACAAAGUGAAAGGUGGUGCAUGCUGUUCGUCAGCUCGUGUCGUGAGAUGUGGUAGUCCCGCAACGGAGCGCAACGUGAUGUCAGUGCAGCAUAGCUGGCCACUCUGCCGGACUGCGUACAACGAGAGUGGUACGACGUCAGUCCUCAUGCUUAGACUGGCUACACGUCUAAUGGAACGUUACACAGAGAGUCA